rnacentral:lncRNA from 1 species
AACUUAUGCUAAUCUUCUAAGACUGCAGUAUUCAGCCAUAACCUUCCUUUACAAAGCUUGGACAUGCUGGCACAAAGCCAAGAGAUAUCUGCCUAGACACACCAGGGUGGAAUUUGGGGAAUGUAAAGUGGAAGCUUAGCAGUAGUGGCAGCACCUGGGAGCAGCCAGCCUUCAUACCUGCCUUUGGAAAACACAGAAUAUGAAUCUCGAGUCCAGGGGGAACCAGUUCAUAUGAAUAUCUGAAAGGACCCACCACCACGCAGUUGAGGGGAUCAAGUUACUGAAGACCAGUGGAGGAGACAGAGAGGAGAAAGAUAUUUGGGUUCUGUGGCUUUGCACCACUCAGGCACAUCCCCCAUCCUGUUGUGGCAGAGAAGAUAACGCUCCAGCCAGAGAACUUGUUUCCAAUGUCAGCCUGUAACCAGCUUAUGCCUGAAGAAAAAGAGACUGAUCAGCCAUUGUGGUCUUUAUCCUGGCAGCUGAAUAGCCUGCGUGAAUAUCAACAUUAUCAUAAAUCACUCAAUUGCUGAAAGUCAUCUUCCCCUCAGAAGGAGCUGAAUAGCAACCGUUUCUAAAUCCUUAUGUACAUCCAUUUACAGCAGCUGAGCUGUGGGAGUACAUAGACCUAUUUUUCAGCUAGCAUGAUAAUCAAGCCAUUCCUCAUUUAAGAGUGAAUUCAUUUGCCUUGGUAUUAGUCCCAAAUAAUAGUUCAGGAAAUUGAUAUGUAAUCUCCAACUAAAACUAAGAUUAAGAUGAGGCCACCAAACUUCCUUAUUCCUCAAAACACAUUUAAAGCCCCCAGCCAGACUCUCAUCUUGGUGUGAAUCCAAACAUACUGUAUUAUAUUUAAAAGCCACUGCUUUAAACUGGGGUUUCUCAGUAGCCCCAGUCUAGCCAUAAAGAUCAGAAUCUGUCCUUAAUAUCCCUGCACACUGGUACUGUGCAGAACUAGCUCCAGACUAUUUAUAGCUCACACUAUAUAUACACACCACAGCUUCUAAAAGCAUAUUUUAUCUUUGGGGAGGACAAUGCUUUCAGAAAUGUAAUAAAAGGCAAAGUUUUGCUCA